rnacentral:rRNA from 1 species
GGUUAAGCGACUAAGCGUACACGGUGGAUGCCCUGGCAGUCAGAGGCGAUGAAGGACGUGCUAAUCUGCGAUAAGCGCCGGUAAGGUGAUAUGAACCGUUAUAACCGGCGAUUUCCGAAUGGGGAAACCCAGUGUGAUUCGUCACACUAUCAUUAACUGAAUCCAUAGGUUAAUGAGGCGAACCGGGGGAACUGAAACAUCUAAGUACCCCGAGGAAAAGAAAUCAACCGAGAUUCCCCCAGUAGCGGCGAGCGAACGGGGAGGAGCCCAGAGCCUGAAUCAGCAUGUGUGUUAGUGGAAGCGUCUGGAAAGGCGCGCGAUACAGGGUGACAGCCCCGUACACAAAAGCGCAUGUGCUGUGAGCUCGAUGAGUAGGGCGGGACACGUGGUAUCCUGUCUGAAUAUGGGGGGACCAUCCUCCAAGGCUAAAUACUCCUGACUGACCGAUAGUGAACCAGUACCGUGAGGGAAAGGCGAAAAGAACCCCGGCGAGGGGAGUGAAAAAGAACCUGAAACCGUGUACGUACAAGCAGUGGGAGCACAGGUUUACCUGUGUGACUGCGUACCUUUUGUAUAAUGGGUCAGCGACUUAUAUUCUGUAGCAAGGUUAACCGUAUAGGGGAGCCGGAGGGAAACCGAGUCUUAAUUGGGCGUUAAGUUGCAGGGUAUAGACCCGAAACCCGGUGAUCUAGCCAUGGGCAGGUUGAAGGUUGGGUAACACUAACUGGAGGACCGAACCGACUAAUGUUGAAAAAUUAGCGGAUGACCUGUGGCUGGGGGUGAAAGGCCAAUCAAACCGGGAGAUAGCUGGUUCUCCCCGAAAGCUAUUUAGGUAGCGCCUCGUGAAUUCAUCUCCGGGGGUAGAGCACUGUUUCGGCUAGGGGGCCAUCCCGGCUUACCAACCCGAUGCAAACUGCGAAUACCGGAGAAUGUUAUCACGGGAGACACACGGCGGGUGCUAACGUCCGUCGUGAAGAGGGAAACAACCCAGACCGCCAGCUAAGGUCCCAAAGUCAUGGUUAAGUGGGAAACGAUGUGGGAAGGCCCAGACAGCCAGGAUGUUGGCUUAGAAGCAGCCAUCAUUUAAAGAAAGCGUAAUAGCUCACUGGUCGAGUCGGCCUGCGCGGAAGAUGUAACGGGGCUAAACCAUGCACCGAAGCUGCGGCAGCGAACGUAUCACCCAAGACAACUUUACGGAGUUGACGAUUGACGGAGCGAAGCGACGUCAAAGCGUUCAUUAAAGUCGAGUUGGCUUAGGGAUACGUUCGUUGGGUAGGGGAGCGUUCUGUAAGCCUGUGAAGGUGUGUCGUGAGGCAUGCUGGAGGUAUCAGAAGUGCGAAUGCUGACAUAAGUAACGAUAAAGCGGGUGAAAAGCCCGCUCGCCGGAAGACCAAGGGUUCCUGUCCAACGUUAAUCGGGGCAGGGUGAGUCGACCCCUAAGGCGAGGCCGAAAGGCGUAGUCGAUGGGAAACGGGUUAAUAUUCCCGUACUUGGUGUUACUGCGAAGGGGGACGGAGAAGGCUAUGUUGGCCGGGCGACGGUUGUCCCGGUUUAAGCGUGUAGGUGUGUGUUCCAGGUAAAUCCGGUUCACUUUAACACUGAGGCGUGAUGACGAGGCACUACGGUGCUGAAGCAACAAAUGCCCUGCUUCCAGGAAAAGCCUCUAAGCAUCAGGUAACAUCAAAUCGUACCCCAAACCGACACAGGUGGUCAGGUAGAGAAUACCAAGGCGCUUGAGAGAACUCGGGUGAAGGAACUAGGCAAAAUGGUGCCGUAACUUCGGGAGAAGGCACGCUGACACGUAGGUGAAGUGAUUUACUCACGGAGCUGAAGUCAGUCGAAGAUACCAGCUGGCUGCAACUGUUUAUUAAAAACACAGCACUGUGCAAACACGAAAGUGGACGUAUACGGUGUGACGCCUGCCCGGUGCCGGAAGGUUAAUUGAUGGGGUCAGCGCAAGCGAAGCUCCUGAUCGAAGCCCCGGUAAACGGCGGCCGUAACUAUAACGGUCCUAAGGUAGCGAAAUUCCUUGUCGGGUAAGUUCCGACCUGCACGAAUGGCGUAAUGAUGGCCAGGCUGUCUCCACCCGAGACUCAGUGAAAUUGAACUCGCUGUGAAGAUGCAGUGUACCCGCGGCAAGACGGAAAGACCCCGUGAACCUUUACUAUAGCUUGACACUGAACAUUGAGCCUUGAUGUGUAGGAUAGGUGGGAGGCUUUGAAGUGUGGACGCCAGUCUGCAUGGAGCCGACCUUGAAAUACCACCCUUUAAUGUUUGAUGUUCUAACGUGGACCCGUAAUCCGGGUUGCGGACAGUGUCUGGUGGGUAGUUUGACUGGGGCGGUCUCCUCCUAAAGAGUAACGGAGGAGCACGAAGGUUGGCUAAUCCUGGUCGGACAUCAGGAGGUUAGUGCAAUGGCAUAAGCCAGCUUGACUGCGAGCGUGACGGCGCGAGCAGGUGCGAAAGCAGGUCAUAGUGAUCCGGUGGUUCUGAAUGGAAGGGCCAUCGCUCAACGGAUAAAAGGUACUCCGGGGAUAACAGGCUGAUACCGCCCAAGAGUUCAUAUCGACGGCGGUGUUUGGCACCUCGAUGUCGGCUCAUCACAUCCUGGGGCUGAAGUAGGUCCCAAGGGUAUGGCUGUUCGCCAUUUAAAGUGGUACGCGAGCUGGGUUUAGAACGUCGUGAGACAGUUCGGUCCCUAUCUGCCGUGGGCGCUGGAGAACUGAGGGGGCUGCUCCUAGUACGAGAGGACCGGAGUGGACGCAUCACUGGUGUUCGGGUUGUCAUGCCAAUGGCACUGCCCGGUAGCUAAAUGCGGAAGAGAUAAGUGCUGAAAGCAUCUAAGCACGAAACUUGCCCCGAGAUGAGUUCUCCCUGAGACUUAGAGUCUCCUGAAGGAACGUUGAAGACGACGACGUUGAUAGGCCGGGUGUGUAAGCGCAGCGAUGCGUUGAGCUAACCGGUACUAAUGAACCGUGAGGCUUAACCUU